GAAACGCGAAAGGUAAUGCGAAUUGCAGAAUCAGUGAGUCAUCGAAUCUUUGAACGCACAUUGCGCCUCUCGGUAUUCCGGGAGGCACGCCUGUUCGAGCGCCAUUACAAACUCCAAGCGUGGCUUGAUGUUGGGCGAUGUCUUUUUGCGAGAGCGGAGACACGCCUGGAACGCGUUGGCGCCGCCGCCGGACCACGAGCGUAGCAAGACGAGAGUCAAUCGCAUCGAUUUGGUUUCCGACGGAGGUCCGCCUUUGGAUUGGAUCUUGGAUUCGAUCUACCCAUCAACAAGUUUGGCCUCGGAUCAGGCGGGGAUACCCGCUGAACUUAAGC
rnacentral:misc_RNA from 1 species